rnacentral:rRNA from 1 species
GACGAACGCUGGCGGCGUGCUUAACACAUGCAAGUCGAACGAAGUGGCGAACGGGUGAGUAACGCGUAAUCAACCUGCCCUUCAGAGGGGGACAACAGUUGGAAACGACUGCUAAAACCGCAUACUGAAGGAGGGGAUUGCGUUGGAUUGGCUAGUGGGAGGGGUAAAGGCCCACCAAGGGGAUGAUCAGUAGCCGGUCUGGAGGGGUGGACGGCCACAUUGGGCCUGGGACACGGCCCAGACUCCUACGGGAGGCAGCAGUGGGGAAUCUUCCGCAAUGGACGAAAGGCUGACGGAGCAACGCCGCGGGGGUGAUGACGGCCUUCGGGUUGUAAAGCUCUGUUAAUCGGGACGCGGUACCGGAAUAGAAAGCCACGGCUAACUACGUGCCAGCAGCCGCGGUAAUUC